GCCUGGACGGCUCAGUCGGUUAAGCAUCUGACUUCAGCUCAGGUCACGAUCUCGCGGUUUGUGAGUUCGAGACUCGUUUUAGGCU
rnacentral:tRNA from 1 species